UAGGGAAUCUUCCGCAAUGGGCGAAAGCCUGACGGAGCAACGCCGCGUGAGUGAUGAAGGUCUUCGGAUCGUAAAACUCUGUUAUUAGGGAAGAACAAAUGUGUAAGUAACUAUGCACGUCUUGACGGUACCUAAUCAGAAAGCCACGGCUAACUACGUGCCAGCAGCCGCGGUAAUACGUAGGUGGCAAGCGUUAUCCGGAAUUAUUGGGCGUAAAGCGCGCGUAGGCGGUUUUUUAAGUCUGAUGGGAAAGCCCACGGCUCAACCGUGGAGGGUCAUUGGAAACUGGAAAACUUGAGUGCAGAAGAGGAAAGUGGAAUUCCAUUUGGAGCGGUGAAAUGCGCAGAGAUAUGGAGGAACACCAGUGGCGAAGGCGACUUUCUGGUCUGUAACUGACGCUGAUGUGCGAAAGCGUGGGGAUCAAACAGG
rnacentral:rRNA from 1 species